UACGUAGGGCGCAAGCGUUGUCCGGAAUUAUUGGGCGUAAAGAGCUCGUAGGCGGUUUGUCACGUCGGCUGUGAAAACCCGAGGCUCAACCUCGGGCCUGCAGUCGAUACGGGCAGACUAGAGUGCUGUAGGGGAGACUGGAAUUCCUGGUGUAGCGGUGAAAUGCGCAGAUAUCAGGAGGAACACCGGUGGCGAAGGCGGGUCUCUGGGCCGUAACUGACGCUGAGGAGCGAAAGCAUGGGGAGCGAACAGG
rnacentral:rRNA from 1 species